rnacentral:rRNA from 1 species
GAUGAACGCUGGCGGCGUGCCUAAUACAUGCAAGUCGAGCGAACAGACUAGGAGCUUGCUCCUCUGACGUUAGCGGCGGACGGGUGAGUAACACGUGGAUAACCUACCUAUAAGACUGGGAUAACUUCGGGAAACCGGAGCUAAUACCGGAUAAUAUAUUGAACCGCAUGGUUCAAUAUUGAAAGACGGUUUUGCUGUCCCUUAUAGUUGGAUCCGCGCCGCAUUAGCUAGUUGGUAAGGUAACGGCUUACCAAGGCAACGAUGCGUAGCCGACCUGAGAGGGUGAUCGGCCACACUGGAACUGAGAAACGGUCCAGACUCCUACGGGAGGCAGCAGUAGGGAAUCUUCCGCAAUGGGCGAAAGCCUGACGGAGAAACGCCGCGUGAGUGAUGAAGGUCUUCGGAUCGUAAAACUCUGUUAUUAGGGAAGAACAAAUGUGUAAGUAACUAUGCACGUCUUGACGGUACCUAAUCAGAAAGCCACGGCUAACUACGUG